rnacentral:rRNA from 1 species
GGGGACCGCAAGGCCUUGCGUCGAUGGAGCGGCCGAUGCCGGAUUAGCUAGUUGGUGAGGUAAAGGCUCACCAAGGCGACGAUCCCGUAGCUGGUCUGAGAGGACGACCCAGCCACACUGGGACUGAGACACGGCCCAGACUCCUACGGGAGGCAGCAGUGGGGAAUCUUGGACAAUGGGCGAAAGCCUGAUCCAGCAAUGCCGCGUGUGGGAAGAAGGCCUUCGGGUUGUAAACCACUUUUGGCGGGAAAGAAAUGGUCUGUGCUAAUACCACGGAUUGAUGACGGUACCCGCAGAAUAAGCACCGGCUAACUACGUG